GUGGGGAAUAUUGGACAAUGGGCGCAAGCCUGAUCCAGCCAUGCCGCGUGUGUGAAGAAGGCCUUUUGGUUGUAAAGCACUUUAAGCGAGGAGGAGGCUACCGAGAUUAAUACUCUUGGAUAGUGGACGUUACUCGCAGAAUAAGCACCGGCUAACUCUGUGCCAGCAGCCGCGGUAAUACAGAGGGUGCAAGCGUUAAUCGGAUUUACUGGGCGUAAAGCGCGCGUAGGUGGCCAAUUAAGUCAAAUGUGAAAUCCCCGAGCUUAACUUGGGAAUUGCAUUCGAUACUGGUUGGCUAGAGUAUGGGAGAGGAUGGUAGAAUUCCAGGUGUAGCGGUGAAAUGCGUAGAGAUCUGGAGGAAUACCGAUGGCGAAGGCAGCCAUCUGGCCUAAUACUGACACUGAGGUGCGAAAGCAUGGGGAGCAAACAGGAUUAGAAACCCCAGUAGUCC
rnacentral:rRNA from 1 species